rnacentral:rRNA from 1 species
GAUGAACGCUGGCGGCGUGCUUAACACAUGCAAGUCGAACGGAAAGGCCCAAGCUUGCUUGGGUACUCGAGUGGCGAACGGGUGAGUAACACGUGGGUGAUCUGCCCUGCACUUCGGGAUAAGCCUGGGAAACUGGGUCUAAUACCGGAUAGGACCACAUUUUGGAUGGUGUGGUGGAAAGUUUUUCGGUGUGGGAUGAGCUCGCGGCCUAUCAGCUUGUUGGUGGGGUAAUGGCCUACCAAGGCGUCGACGGGUAGCCGGCCUGAGAGGGUGUACGGCCACAUUGGGACUGAGAUACGGCCCAGACUCCUACGGGAGGCAGCAGUGGGGAAUAUUGCACAAUGGGCGCAAGCCUGAUGCAGCGACGCCGCGUGGGGGAUGACGGCCUUCGGGUUGUAAACUCCUUUCGCUAGGGACGAAGCGUUAUGUGACGGUAUCUGGAGAAGAAGCACCGGCUAACUACGUG